AAGCUACAGCAUCAUUUUCUCGUAGGGAUGUAGUAUAUAGCCAGCCUCCAGUUUCACAGUGUAGCUCUAGACUUUUCUUUGAACACAGUCCUGUGAAAAUUACUUCACUUCUCCAAGCUAAACUUUCUUUAUUAAACUGGUGUCACAAAGUUACUUAUCUCAUAAGUUUUUAAGGAAGGAGACAAACUAUGUAACAGUUUUAGUAGAAGGCCUGGCAUGUAGGAUACACCCAGAAUGUUAUUCUGACUUUUGGUGAGAGGUAAAGGGAACCAAUAAUUUUCCAAAGAAACCUCCUCAAGCUAGCCUUGAGAAGAGGCGUAUGAGAAUACGGGGAACUGAGACUGACUCAGGCAAAACAUUUCAGAGGCGUGAUCAUUACCAGGGCAGACUCAUGUGGGAAGCAAUGAAUCAAGGGAGAAGUUGGGUAGCCCUUGCAGAGUGUUGCUAUGGCAACCAGAUGUUGUGUGGAGCGGGAGGGAGGCCAUGCCAGAUGCAGAGCCUGACGCAAAUCACCCUGGGCGGGGUGGAGGUGAGCGUGGUGUGUAUGUUGGAGGCUGGGAGAGGAUGCUGGAUGGUGGCAGGGCAGGCAGCAAGGAGAAUGGGGAAUCAAGAGCUGCCUAGGCUGCCGUGGUCACUGGAUAAGCAAGAUCCACCGACUGGUAAGAAAAGUGGCCAAGGCGCAAAGUGAAAAGUGGAUUUUCCCGGUGCAGCCUCCUCUCCCCUUGCUGUUUUCUUGUUUUGUUUGUUUUUGUUUUUGUGGUACCAGGAAUCAAACUCAUGACCUCACACCUGCCCGGCAGAUGCUGUGCGGCUGAGCUAUGUGCCCAGCCUCCCCCACCCCUUGCUGUUCCAACAGCUGCUCAGCCCCUGGUACUAAAGUUGUGGAAACUGAGAAAUUCUUGCAGUGCCUGCUCAGAUCUUCCUCUGCCUGAGAAACUACCACAGCAGGAUCUGUGGAGCUGAGCUGACUCAUGAGAGCUGGAACUAGCAGUGCAUGCUGAUAAUGGAACACGUGAUGCUGAAAACAUGUGACAUGCGGCCUAACAAGACCAGCUGCAAGUGUGGACGAGGCCUUGCGUGCGUUUGCUGCCCUUGCCCAGUCUGAGGAAGAAAGCAGUGGGGAUUAAACCCAGGGUCUAGUUGUGUUGUUAAGGCUGGC